CUGGCUCCAGCCUCCUGGCCCCACCUUCGCCUGCUCACUCCCGGCGGUGGACGGCGAGACCAACCGGCAGCGCGCGGCCAGGUUAUCCCCUAUGCCCUGUUCCUCUGCUGAUACUGUCCCUCUGAAUUGCUAGGUUCUGGGGAGGAGAGUGAUUUGGUGGGAUCAUCAAAAUGGAUUCCACUUUUUUCUGUCAUAAUCAGUGUGAGCCAUCCAGGACGACAUAAAAAGUGCUGGGUGGCUGGUUUGCUCCAAGGAGCCCUCGCUUUCUGGCCGUCUGGAUCGGUACCGGCCCCGGGUCGCGCGAGUCCUUCUGACAGCGAGCGAGAAGACGGGCACGUCACUCCCGUGCCCGGUGCGCUCCUCCAUCCAUUCCUCUGCUCCACCAGCGAGCGCCGCGCCGCGGCGCCCUUCUCCUUCCUCUGCUCCGCUGGCAAGCGCCGCCACGUCCCUCCACUUCCAUCGCUUCACCGGCGAACGCCACCGCGCGCCUCACCUUCCUGCCGCGCCAUGGCGAGGGACGCCCGCCCCUCACCCUUCCUCCUAGAUCCAGGCCUCGCAGCAUCCACUGCACGCCGCCCUGGCUCGGGGUAACAGCGAGGGUUUAACCGACGCGCUCCGAUCCCUUAGGCGACUGACGUUUUGACACCCCGACUGCCCGCGUCCCCGGAGAGCUGGCGUGUGUGGCGUCCCAGAUCCGGCUCGGCGAAUUCCGCCGCACCUCUUCUCCCUCGCAAGCUCUCCAGGCCACCUCUCGUCUCCUCUAGCUCGCAAGCUCACCGGCGACUGCCGAUCCGAGUUCCACGUCGAUGGGUGGGGUGGGGGGAUAGGGUGGACGGUGCUCACCACCAUGUGCCUCCCCCACCGCCGCCAUCGGGCCCGGCCAGCAUUGUACCUCUUCCAUCUUCCUGCGCUGCUCCUACCCUUGAUGUACCCCGUCAGUACCCAGAUGCAAGUGACGGACAUGUAGAGCUGGGCCUUGUGGCAGCGUGGAAAUCAGAGCUGGUUUGCUCGAGAGGAUGUUCAGCGCAUCCUCUGACGCAUCGACAACUUCAGCAGUGGUAAUGUGUUGAAUUUGGCUUGGAUUCCAUCAUCCUAAGACUAUGUCGUUGCCGCUUCACCAUGGUUUGGUUGACAAUGGUGGCUCAAGCACGGUAGCUGGACCUGGAGGAGAUGGUUCAUGGUGGAGCAUUUGCUUCUACCAGAUAGAGCUUGGUAUCCUAUACUUAGAAGCGGUGGAUCCCGGGCGGUGCAGCUAGUACCAUAUCAAGAACGGCGGUGGGGGAGGCCAUGGUGCCUACCUCGAGCCGGUGGUGGAGAGAACAAUGCCUAGUUUGAGCCAGUCGCAGCGCCCCCGAUGCCUAGCUCGAGCACUAGCUUGAGCCAACCAUUGCCCCCGACCAACGUGUAGGGCAUGUGAGGGCGAGGGGUCAGUGCAGGUGUCCCCAGUUCAAACUCAGUGGAAUAGUGAAGCACCAGGUCGCUGCCGGGACACCAGGUCGGCUUUGUCGGCGACGGCCUCAAGGACACACAGUAUACUAUAUAUGAAUGUGAUGAGGGCUGCCAAUAAAAAGCUCAAGGGGAUGAUGAAAACUGUCAAGAUCAAGGACAGUGAUGUACAUCAUAUUGCUUCUUCCCAUCUUAGUUAGUUGUUUGUACUUUCUCUGAGGGCACUACUUAUUAUCGUGUGCCUAUCACCCGCAGCCGCUGCCUUCCCCGCGUAGGAGCAACUUCCUUCGGUGUGGUGCCUGGAGGCGGCCACUGGCGGGUGUUUUUUUUUUCAAAUCCUCGGAACAAACAGACGAGACCUAUGUUGGGAUUAGGAGGUGGCUCUACCGUGGUUGACUUUCGCCUGGGCUCAAGCCUCCAAUGCUUAUCCUCUACCAUAUCCAUUUUCUGGAUUGUUGUGGUUUGUCCAAUCCUAAAUCUUAGUUGUAAGCGUGUAAGCAAAUGCCAAGGUUGAUUUAGUGUAGUUCAAAUUUUCCACUUGUGGGAUAGUAAGACAUGGAAAUCUGACCAUUUUCGAAUUUCUACCAGACAGCGCCGACGUUAGCUA